rnacentral:rRNA from 1 species
GACGAACGCUGGCGGCGUGCCUAAUACAUGCAAGUUGAGCGAUGAAGAUUGUGCUUGCACCAAUUUGAAGAGCAGCGAACGGGUGAGUAACGCGUGGGGAAUCUGCCUUUGAGCGGGGGACAACAUUUGGAAACGAAUGCUAAUACCGCAUAACAACUUUAAACAUAAGUUUUAAGUUUGAAAGAUGCAAUUGCAUCACUCAAAGAUGAUCCCGCGUUGUAUUAGCUAGUUGGUGAGGUAAAGGCUCACCAAGGCGAUGAUACAUAGCCGACCUGAGAGGGUGAUCGGCCACAUUGGGACUGAGACACGGCCCAAACUCCUACGGGAGGCAGCAGUAGGGAAUCUUCGGCAAUGGACGAAAGUCUGACCGAGCAACGCCGCGUGAGUGAAGAAGGUUUUCGGAUCGUAAAACUCUGUUGGUAGAGAAGAACGUUGGUGAGAGUGGAAAGCUCAUCAAGUGACGGUAACUACCCAGAAAGGGACGGCUAACUACGUG